GCAAAAAUGGCCAGAGUGUCAGUUUUUAAGGCCAUUUAUUAUUGCUAAACUUCACCCAGAAAUUACAUCUAAGUCAUCACAAUUGGAAAGAAUUUCAGGAUGAGGUUUGACUUCCCAACUAAGCACUUUCUUUUUCAAAGAAUGAAAAAAUGAAAAAAUGAAAUAUACAAAAUUAGAGAGGGAGAGGUUAAUGUUUAUGCUUGUAAUAAUAAUCCUGGAAUAUAAGGAAUUAACAAGGUAUCUUUGUGCCUAUUAAAUUCUAGAUUACUGCUAAUUAGAAAAUUAUCUCUCUUAUAUUUACACGCACCCAAAAAUUCCCCACUAAUCCUAUUAUUAAUAUUGCUGUCUAACAAGUCCUCCAAUGAUUGCUCACUACCACCGUAGCUUUUUUGGUGCACCGAUCUGUAACUAUUCACAUCUUCUUUAUCUUCAAUUGAGUACAUGACUGUAUCACGGUCUUCUCUGUAAUUGCCUCUAACUGAGGUCCAGUUCUCAUCCCAGUCCCAAUUGGGACCCCCUGAAAGCAAGGACAACCGUCUGAUCCUCUCCUUGGCUGAAAUUUCAUCACUUCUUUGGACCUGAUUGUCUACAUUCUCUGAUUCUGAUUCUGAUUCAUCCAGUGAGUUCCAAAAGCCUUGGUCAAGAAUGCUUGUAGGAGAAUUUGAACUUGAAUUAGAUUUUUGAAUUUGUUUUGCAUGAGAAUUGGAUUUUCCCAGAAAAGGAUGCUUCAGAAGCUGAUUGGCUGUCCACCUCUGUUUUGGAUCUCUUCUUAAACACUUAUCCAAGAAAUCCCUUGCUUGCUCUGAUAGACUACAGGGGAACUCCGGCAACUGUUCGGAAAAUCCAAUCCGGUACAUAACAGAAAUUGGGUCAUUGACAUUAGGCCACGGUGCACCACCACUAGCCAUUUCAAUAAUUGUACACCCUAAAGCCCAUAUAUCACUAGCAAACCCCUGUUCCUCUCCACGCGCCACCUCCGGUGCCAUAAACAUGGGUGUGCCGCCAAUUGGCGCAGCUGACUCAGCCGCAGCCUCCACCGCGUCGAGCCUCUUCGCACACCCAAAAUCCGCAAUUUUGGCGCCAGUUUUCCCUAUUAAGACGUUCCUACCUUUGAUGUCACAAUGAACCCAGCCAUUUGAAUGUAGGUAAUCUAGACCUUGAACAAUUUCAUAAGUGUAGUAUCUGAUCACCGAUUCUUCUAACCGGCCACCGUGAGCCUGAACUGCAUCGGUAAGUGUACCGCCAGAAAUGUACUCCAAGAAAAGAUUGUACAUAACCUGGUUAUUCUCUCUAGUAAUGUCAUAGCCCUUGUAACUAACUAUAUGUGGAGAGGUUAGAGAAGAGAGAAUAUUUUGCUCCCUUUGCAAGAAUUGAGAUUGGUCGAGUUCGGCGGAUUUGACUGCCCAAACGUCACCGGAGUGGAUGGACUUGGCGAGGGAGACGGUGGCGGUGGAGCCAUGGCCUAAGGUGUGGCCUCUGGUCCAGUCCAUAUUGUAAGCUGAAAAGAGAAAAGAGAAAGAAAAAAGAAAUGCUUUGUUGGGUUUAUCUUGAGUUGGCUAUAAGCAGCUGCCACCCAAGUGUUUAUAUAUGAGGAGCUGAAAAACCAAUAAUUU
rnacentral:misc_RNA from 1 species